GGAAAUACACACUCGAUGUACUCCAUACGUUCUAACCAUUGCAUCAUGCAUGUAUAUUGUAUAUUAUGUAUAGUCUCGUAGGAAUAGUCUUUGUUCAUUUAAAUAAACUCGUUUUAUUUGUUUUUAGAACCCCCUGCCUUAGAAAUCCCAAUAUUUAGUGCACCACUCGAAAGCAGAACUACCGCUACUUCACUGCAGGCACAUGUCGUUUGCAGCAUGCAUCUUCAAAAUGAAACUAAUAACAGAAAAGAUGCUCGUUUUAUUGAUGAGUUCUACGAUCAUCCUCCAUCGACAGGCAGCUACAGAGCGGCAUCCAUUCCGGAACCUCCAUAUCUACAGACGGUGACCAGCGCAUCUAAAGAACAUCUGUAUGACGAAAUACCUUGUUGGAAGCACGCUUCAGAAAAUAACGCAUUAAUAUUAGACAAACUGUCACACUAUGCUAACACUCCUUCCCACACAAAUAGUGGAUCGAUAAGGAAAAUUUGAGUAUUGUGUAUAUUUAGUUUUUAAUUUUACUCACACAGUCACACGUGCUUUUAAGUUGUAUAACAUAAUGUAGCCUACCCUAAAUUCCGUAAAAAAAAAACUAAAAGCCUA